UCCAUUUCAAACUUCAUGGUGAAAUGUUGAAAGGCGCUUUCGCGUCACUACAGGAUGGGCCCGCGGUGCAUUAGCUAGUUGGUGGGGUAACGGCCUACCAAGGCGACGAUGCAUAGCCGACCUGAGAGGGUGAUGCGGCCACAUUGGGACUGAGACACGGCCCAAACUCCUACGGGAGGCAGCAGUAGGGAAUCUUCCACAAUGGACGAUAAGUCUGAUGGAGCAACGCCGCGUGAGUGAUGAAGGUUUUCGGAUCGUAAAACUCUGUUGUAAGGGAAGAACAAGUACGUUAGGAAAUGAACGUACCUUGACGGUACCUUAUUAGAAAGCCACGGCUAACUACGUGCCAGCAGCCGCGGUAAUACGUAGGUGGCAAGCGUUGUCCGGAUUUAUUGGGCCAGUAAAGCGCGCGCAGGUGGUUUCUUAAGUCUGAUGUGAAAGCCCACGGCUCAACCGUGGAGGUCGUCAUUGGAAACUGGGAGACGUUGAGUGCAGAAGAGGAACGAGUGGAAUUCCAAGUCUUAGUAGCGGUGAAAUGCGUAGAGAUUUGGAGGUGAACACCAGUGGCGAACCGGGCGACUUUCUGGUCUGUAACUGACGCU
rnacentral:rRNA from 1 species